rnacentral:lncRNA from 1 species
CAUUAACGCUGACAAUAAACCGGAAGUAGACGAAGUAGAAGUGGGAGGUCCCGUACCGGGAAAAAAAAGGCGGCAAGACUGUUGCAUUUAAAAUGCGCGGGAUACCUGCGCUGCUUCACAUUCACACGGAGCUGUAGUUGUUGGAGUGUUGGAGAUCCACCACUACAUUACAGGAUAAAUCCUGGAAACCUCUGGUUAAAAAUGGAACAGAAGUUGGAACAAAUUGACAAAACUGUUGAGGUACAGAUUUUCUCCUGUGUAAUGAAAAGUACACUCAAGUCAUACUAGUUUAAUCAAAGAUGUAAUAAUGAAUUACAGAGUUUCUGGUCUUGCCCAUUUCAUCCAGCUCCAUCUUACAAACAGGAAAAAAACAAAAGCCUAAGCAUGUGUCUCUUUCCUACAGAUGGAAAAAAUGGAGAACCCGAAUGUGGAGAUCAGUCAAUCCAGUAAUUCACCACUUGUUGCAAAUGGUUUGUCAUAUUUCAUUUUAGCCAGAAUAAACUAUAGAUUAUUUAAUUGAGAGUUGCUUCUCUCUCUCUCUCUCUCUCUCUCUCUCCUAUAUAUAUAUAUAUAUUUAUUUCAGUAAUUGUUAACAUUUCUUGUUUCAUGAUUGGGGGAAAAUUAUUUGGUAUGUUUGUUUAUAUCUCACUUCAACCGUCUUUUGUGAGACAAGUGGUGUUGCUUUUAACAAAAUAAAAUAUAUUUUAAUGUGAGUGAAUUAAAUAAGAGUUUUUUCUCAUUCUCAGGUAGAGGAGCCACACCCAACCCAUUCUUUUUGUGUGGUGCUUUCAAGGCAAGUUCACGUCU